rnacentral:rRNA from 1 species
CCUACGGGGGGCGGCAGUGAGGAAUAUUGCCCAAUGAACGAAAGUUUGAGGCAGCGACGCCGCGUGAAGGAUGACGAUCUUCGGGUCUUAAACUUCUUUUAAGCAGGAAGAACCUGUAUAUGGCUAAUAAUCAUAUACACUGACGGUACUGCUUGAAUAAGCCCCGGCUAACUACGUGCCAGCAGCCCCGGUCA